AUUGAACGCUGGCGGCAGGCUUAACACGUGCAAGCCGAGCGGAGAUGAGGUGCUUGCACCUUAUCUUAGCGGCGGACGGGUGAGUAAUGCCUAGGAAUCUGCCUGGUAGUGGGGGACAAUGUUUCGAAAGGAACGCUAAUACCGCAUACGUCCUACGGGAGAAAGCAGGGGACCUUCGGGCCUUGCGCUAUCAGAUGAGCCUAGGUCGGAUUAGCUAGUAGGUGAGGUAAUGGCUCACCUAGGCGACGAUCCGUAACUGGUCUGAGAGGAUGAUCAGUCACACUGGAACUGAGACACGGUCCAGACUCCUACGGGAGGCAGCAGUGGGGAAUAUUGGACAAUGGGCGAAAGCCUGAUCCAGCCAUGCCGCGUGUGUGAAGAAGGUCUUCGGAUUGUAAAGCACUUUAAGUUGGGAGGAAGGGCAGUAAGUUAAUACCUUGCUGUUUUGACGUUACCAACAGAAUAAGCACCGGCUAACUUCGUGCCAGCCGCCGCAGUAACAC
rnacentral:rRNA from 1 species